AGGGUUCGAUCAUGGCUCAGGAUGAACGCUGGCGGCAUGCCUAAGACAUGCAAGUCGUACGAGAAGGCCCAUUGAAGUUUGAGUGCUUGCACAAUUUCUGAUUUGGAUUUUCCUUCUAGUGGCGGACGGGUGAGUAACACGUGGGUGACCUACCUUUGAGUUUGGGAUAACUACUGGAAACGGUAGCUAAUACCGAAUAACAUACAGUUUCGUUUCUGUAUUAAAAGGCGCUUUCAAGCGUCGCUCUUAGAUGGGCCUGCGGCGUAUUAGCUAGUUGGUGGGGUAAUGGCCUACCAAGGCAACGAUGCGUAGCCGGACUGAGAGGUUGAUCGGCCACAUUGGGACUGAGACACGGCCCAA
rnacentral:rRNA from 1 species